rnacentral:rRNA from 1 species
AUUGAACGCUGGCGGCAUGCCUUACACAUGCAAGUCGAACGGCAGCGCGGGGCAACCUGGCGGCGAGUGGCGAACGGGUGAGUAAUAUAUCGGAACAUACCCUAGAGUGGGGAUAACGUAGCGAAAGUUACGCUAAUACCGCAUACGCACUAAGGUGGAAAGUGGGGGAUUCGCAAGAACCUCAUGCUCAUGGAGUGGCCGAUAUCUGAUUAGCUAGUUGGUGAGGUAAAGGCUCACCAAGGCGACGAUCAGUAGCUGGUUUGAGAGAACGACCAGCCACACUGGAACUGAGACACGGUCCAGACUCCUACGGGAGGCAGCAGUGGGGAAUUUUGGACAAUGGGGGCAACCCUGAUCCAGCAAUGCCGCGUGAGUGAAGAAGGCCUCGGUUGUAAGUACG